rnacentral:rRNA from 1 species
UACGGGGGGGGGCAAGCGUUGUUCGGAAUUACUGGGCGUAAAGGGCUCGUAGGCGGCCAACUAAGUCGGAUGUGAAAUCCCCAAGCUUAACUUGGGAACUGCAUCCGAUACUGGAUGGCUUGAAUCCGGGAGAGGGAUGCAGAAUUCCAGGUGUAGCGGUGAAAUGCGUAGAUAUCUGGAGGAACACCGGUGGCGAAGGCGGUUCUCUGGGCAUUACCUGACGCUGAGGAGCGAAAGUGUGGGGAGCGAACAGG